UUAUUGGAGAGUUUGAUCCUGGCUCAGGACGAACGCUGGCGGCGUGCCUAACACAUGCAAGUCGAACGGAGUAUUCAGUAAUGGAUACUUAGUGGCGAACGGGUGAGUAACGCGUAGACAACCUGCCUCUAAAUUGGGGACAACACCGCGAAAGUGGUGCUAAUACCGAAUGUGGUAUCUCGGUUGCAUGACUGAGAUAAGAAAGAUGGCCUCUACAUGUAAGCUAUCGUUUAGAGAUGGGUCUGCGUCUGAUUAGCUAGUUGGUGAGGUAAAGGCUCACCAAGGCGACGAUCAGUAGCCG
rnacentral:ncRNA from 1 species